rnacentral:rRNA from 1 species
CUUGAGAGCGGCGUACGGGUGCGGAACACGUGUGCAACAGCUUUAUCUGGGGGAUAGCCUUUCGAAAGGAAGAUUAAUACCCCAUUAUAUGUUGAAUGGCAUCAUUCGACAUUGAAAACUCCGGUGGAUAGAGAUGGGCACGCGCAAGAUUAGAUAGUUGGUGAGGUAACGGCUCACCAAGUCUACGAUCUUUAGGGGGCCUGAGAGGGUGAUCCCCCACACUGGUACUGAGACACGGACCAGACUCCUACGGGAGGCAGCAGUGAGGAAUAUUGGACAAUGGGUGAGAGCCUGAUCCAGCCAUCCCGCGUGAAGGACGACUGCCCUAUGGGUUGUAAACUUCUUUUGUAUAGGGAUAAACCUACCCUCGUGAGGGUAGCUGAAGGUACUAUACGAAUAAGCACCGGUUAACUCCGUGCCAGCAGCCGCGGUAAUACGGAGGGUGCAAGCGUUAUCCGGAUUUAUGGGUUUAAAGGGUCGGUAGGCGGAAUUCCUGUAAGGUCCANUGGUGGAAUUCUCCACANUUUAAAUUGUGGAAAUUGGCCNUUGGGUAUAAACUGGGGCGGGGUCCUUGGGAGUUGGUUGGGUUGAAAUUUACGU